rnacentral:tRNA from 1 species
GGGCCGGUAGCUCAGCCUGGCAGAGCGGCGGGCUUUUAACCCGUAGGUCCCGGGUUCAAAUCCCGGCCGGCCCG